GACGAACGCUGGCGGUAUGCCUAAUACAUGCAAGUCGAACGCUGAAGCACUCUGCUUGCAGAGUGUAGAUGAGUGGCGAACGGGUGAGUAACACGUGGGGAACCUGCCCAUAAGAGGGGGAUAACAUCCGGAAACGGGUGCUAAUACCGCAUAGGUGAUCAUAGCGCAUGCUUAGAUCAUUAAAGAUGGCUUCGGCUAUCGCUUAUGGAUGGCCCCGCGGCGUAUUAGCUAGUUGGUGAGGUAAUGGCUCACCAAGGCUGUGAUACGUAGCCGACCUGAGAGGGUGAUCGGCCACACUGGAACUGAGACACGGUCCAGACUCCUACGGGAGGCAGCAGUAGGGAAUCUUCCACAAUGGGCGAAAGCCUGAUGGAGCAAUACCGCGUGAGUGAAGAAGGUCUUCGGAUCGUAAAGCUCUGUUGUUAGAGAAGAACAAGAGGUGUAGUAACUGGCACCUCCUUGACGGUAUCUAACCAGAAAGUCACGGCUAACUACGUGCCAGCAGCCGCGGUAAUACGUAGGUGACAAGCGUUGUCCGGAUUUAUUGGGCGUAAAGCGAGCGCAGGCGGUCUUUUAAGUCUGAUGUGAAAGCCCACGGCUCAACCGUGGAGGGUCAUUGGAAACUGGAAGACUUGAAUGCAGAAGAGGAAAGUGGAAUUCCAUGUGUAGCGGUGAAAUGCGUAGAUAUAUGGAGGAACACCAGUGGCGAAGGCGACUUUCUGGUCUGUAAUUGACGCUGAGGCUCGAAAGCGUGGGGAGCGAACAGGAUUAGAUACCCUGGUAGUCCACGCCGUAAACGAUGAGUGCUAAGUGUUGGAGGGUUUCCGCCCUUCAGUGCUGGAGCUAACGCAUUAAGCACUCCGCCUGGGGAGUACGGCCGCAAGGCUGAAACUCAAAGGAAUUGACGGGGACCCG
rnacentral:rRNA from 1 species